UACGUAGGGUGCGAGCGUUAAUCGGAAUUACUGGGCGUAAAGCGUGCGCCGGCGGUGAUGUAAGACAGGUGUGAAAUCCCCGGGCUUAACCUGGGAACUGCAUUUGUGACUGCAUCGCUGGAGUGCGGCAGAGGGGGAUGGAAUUCCGCGUGUAGCAGUGAAAUGCGUAGAUAUGCGGAGGAACACCGAUGGCGAAGGCAAUCCCCUGGGCCUGCACUGACGCUCAUGCACGAAAGCGUGGGGAGCAAACAGG
rnacentral:rRNA from 1 species